rnacentral:lncRNA from 1 species
GAAUACUAUUUUUAUAUUUCGAAAGACCACAAUGUGAUUGUGAGUCGAAAUACUAUUUUCUUGAAAAAUAGUUUAUUCAAGAUGGUGGCAUCAGAAGAAUAAUUAAGCUCAAGAAGAAUGUCUCCCAAGAGCAACAAGCUAAAGAACCUGAGGAACCAAAUCAAUCAGAACCAGUUCUAACACAACCUCUUUCACCUCGU